rnacentral:lncRNA from 1 species
CUUGGUUUAUGAUUUCAUCUGACCAACAGAAUGCAGUGGAAAGAACAUUCCAGGACCUGUUUGUUCAGGGCCCCAGAGGCCUGGCAGUGUUUUCUUUCUCCCUGCUGAGACAGUGGCCUCCAUGCUUUAGCGAACUGGGGAAGACUCCUGGGUGAUGAGACCCAGCAUAUGUAUGGGCAGAGAGGCCUCAGAAAGGAAAGGCAGCAGAGGAAAGAAGGGAGCCUUAAACAGUCCCACUAGACUCUACUCUAAUUCCUGACCCAAAGAUUGCUAAGUAGACAACUGAAAGACUGCUACCCCCUCUGCCUUAUUUUAUUAACAUCAUAAUUAAGAAAAAAAUGAGGACACAAAACUAUGGGCUCACCCUUUGCCCCCCACGUGUCCCUCAACUGCUUUCCCUGGAUGUUCCUUAUGGUAGUGAAAAACAACGGAUUGUUUAAUGCCAGAAAUCUGGGACUGUUCCGGAAAUAUCUCUGUCUUGGAGGUAACCAGCCUCCAAAGGGCCCCAAGGGGUUCCCACCUCCUGGAACUCACAGCCUAUCCAGUCCCCUCUCACACUGGUGAGAGCUGACCUGCAUGAUCAAAAGGAUAUUGUGAAUAAUGAAG